GGUUAAUUACUUGUAAAGAAUAAGGAGCUGCUGGAGACCUGUCACACGUCCAGGAGAGCUUUGGAGUUUACCUCUUCGGUAACUGCUGUGAUACAACUGCCUGGAGUUUGAAAAUAAGCUGAAGGGCUAAUGCUAUUACAGUCUGGAGCAAAAUGAAAGAGCUUAUGUCGAGGCCUCCCAAGCAGUGCUGCUACAGACCAUGAACAAGAGAGGAGGAGGAGACCUCAGCCUGCACGAAUGAUCCUGAAACACAAAUGGUCUUGGGUCUACGCUUUUCACAUUGACCUUCUCUGCUGCCUCCCCUUCUGCUCAAGCAAAAUCUGUCUGAGAAGAUCUGAUGGGAAGGAACUAACUGCUUAGGACUCUCCCUUGUGAUGAAAGCACAUGUACAGGUGGAGCUAAAGAAUGAUCUGCUCCUCCAGUGUGGUGAUGGUGAUACAAAAUAAAGCCAAACAAAUCACUGCUUUCCU
rnacentral:lncRNA from 1 species